ensembl:lncRNA
GGAAGGAAGAAGGUUCUCUUUUGACCAUGUAGUAUUUGAAGUGCUUGUGAGCUAACCAAGCAGAUAUGUGUAGUAGGCAAUUAGGUAUUCAUUCAUUUAAGUUGUUUUAAGAACACUGGUCUGUUCUGCACACUGGAACAGAUUAAACAGCAACAAGAGCAGUAAGGUUCCUGCUCCUGUUUCUAGUGGAGGGAACAGACUAAACAAGUUUUACCAAAAAAAUGAGAAUAUUACAUAAUAUGUUCUGUGAAGAAACUAAAAGGGUAUUUGGAUAAAGCCUUUCUUUGGGGAAGAGAACAGGCACAUUUUUGGUUGUUGGUCAGAGAUGGCCUCACUGAGAAGGUAUUCACUAAGACCUAAAUGGGAAUGAGUUAAAAGCAGUAUUCAAGAUCAGAUGGACUAUCAGGGCAACACCUAAGGCGAGAGUUUGUUUUGUUUAGCAAGGAGGGCGUUGUGGAUAGUCUAGAGAGCAAAGAAGGGAAUGGUAGAAGAUGAAGUCUUGUAGCCUUGGUAAGUUUAAGUGCUCUAGAAGCCCCUGAAAGCUUUUAAGGAAUGGAGUAACAUGAAUAGUAGCAGGAGAGGUAAAAUGGAUGGAUUGAAGAUCUAUGUUGUGAUUAGGCCCAGCUUGUAUUGCUGAAGAAUCAAACAUGAGUGAGGGAAAGGGAGCAAUCAAGAAUGAUUCCUAGGUUUGGGGCAUGGUUGUCUAGGCCAGCAGUGUCCAAUGUAAAUAUAACACGAGCCACAUACGUAAUUUUAUAGUACUAACGUUUACAAAGUAAAAAACAAAAGUUGAAAUUAAUUUUAAUACUGUGUUUUAUUUAACUCAGUAUAUCCAAAAUAGUAUCAUUUCAAAUGUGAUGAAUAUUUAAAAGUAUUGGGCUAGCCCUGGUGGCCCAAUGGUUAAGUUCAGUGUGCUCCGCUUCAGUGGGCUGGUUGUGGGUCCUUCUAGUUGUGGCAUGUGGGACGCCACCUCAGCAUGGCUUGAUGAGCUGUGCCAUGUCUGCACCCAGGCUGGUGAAACAGGCGAAACCCUGGGCCACCGAAGCAGAGCGCGCAAACUUAACCACUCGGCCACAGGGCCAGCCCCUAUUUAAUUUUAAAUUAAAGUUAAGAUUAAAAUUUCAUUUGCUAAAUUAGCCAUAUUUCAAGUGGUCAAUAGCCACAUGUGACUGGUUGCUCCUAUAUUGGACAGUACACUCUAGUGGAAUAGAGUACUGGAAAAUUAGAUUUAAAAAGUUGUGUGAAACCAGGCUGUAAAGGAUUGGGAUUUUACCCUAGAGGCAAGGGAAGCAGAGGAUGGUUUUUGAAGCAGGAAGUGACACAACUUUGUGCUUGAGGCUAGAAAAAGGCCACUAGGUGGCCAACUGGUGACUCAGGAACAAGAGCAACCCUUCAGUUGAGUCCACACAUUUUAGGCUCUGACCUCAGCCCUUCAGAAUCAGAAGUCUGAUUUUUGUCAAUGCUCUAGAGCAGUGCCACAAAAAGUAUGGUCCACAGGCCAGUGCCAGUCUGCAUGCCCUUUGUUAUUGGUCCAUGGCAAGGUAUUUACAGAAAUUGAGAGUAAGAAUUUUAAGAGUUUUAUAGCAAUUUAACAUUAAUUUUAUGUCUGUGGAUCUAAGAAAAAUUUUGGUCUCAUUUGUUGUAUAUGUUUUUUUUAAUUUCCCUUUCCUAGUAAUUUAUUUUCAUAUUUUAUAAAAUUGUCUAUGAUCUUUCACCACAGAUAAUUUUUGAAGCACUGUUCUACAGGCACUCAGGUGAAGGCAGUCAGAGGGACCACAUUCUCAGAAGACUUACCUAAAUCCAAAGGCCUUUUCUCACUUUAUAGUUAGCACUAUAGUGACUAAGAGAAGAAUGGACUCUGCUCAGUUUCUCCCUCCAUAUAAAAAUGGAAGAGAGAAUACAUGAAGUUGACUGCAUUACUUCCAGAAGGUUCAUUAGUGAAUUUGAGACCAGAGUAAGGGGAGUUAGUGGUAUUCUAACAGCAUGAGUCAAAUGCAUUCAUUUCUGCAAUAGAACUAUGUCUGCUUUGCUCCUCUCUAGACUUUAUAGAUCACAAAUCAAUAAAAAAUAAAGGAUCUGGCCCCGUAGCGUAGUGGUUCAGUGUACACCACUUCAGAGGCCCGGGUUCGCAGGUUCGGAUCUCAGAUAUGGACCUACAUCAGCCAUGCUGUGGUGGUGACCCACAUAUAAAAUAGAGGAGGAUUGGCACAGAUGUUAGCUCAGGGCUAAUCUUCCUCAGGAAAAAAAAGAAACCCACAAUGAGAUACUUCUGUACGUGCACAAUAAUGGCAAAAAUGGAAAACAGAAAAUGCCACAUAUUGGGCAGGAGUUGAAACAACUGAAACUCUGCAUUGCUGGUGGGAAUGUAGAUUGGUAUAGCCACUUUGGAAAAUUUGAAGUUCAAAAAACAGGCAAACCAAACUAGAUUUAGGAACAUAAUGUUUAGGUAGUAAAAACUAUAAAGAAAAGAAAGGAAAUGGCUAGCUUUGGGUGAGGGAGUAAUGCUUAGACAGGUACAAGGGGACUUCUGGCAUGCUGUCCAUGUCUGUUUCUUGAGUAGGAAUUACAUGAGUUCACUUUGUGAUUCAAUGAGCUGUAGGUUUUGUGGUGGGUGUACUUUUCAGUAUGUGUUGUAUAUCUAAUGGUUUAAAAAAAUUUGCUGGAGUUAACAAGUUAGAAAAUAUGUCCCUGGGCAAUGCUGGAUAUACACUACCAACUACUACUUGCUAACUGAGCCCAUCUUUCUAUAUAUGCAUUACAAAUGUGAAAGAUAAGGUAGGCUUGAAUUCUAGGAGUGGCAAUGGUGAAGGAGAGGAGAGACAGAUGCACAAAAUACUGCAGAACCUGAGGCAGUAUGGGAAGGUGAAGGAGCAUGGCAGUUGGAGUGAGGAGCCCCAAGUUCAAGACUUAACUGGUUUUUAGUCCAGGCUCUAGUCACUCUCUAAGCAUAUGACCUGGCCUAUCUCCUAACUUACCUUAAUUUCAUUUUUCUCACCUGGAGGGUGGGGUUGAUAAAACUGACAAUCUUUCGUUUGUAACCUUUUGUAAGCUAUUGAAAUGCCAUAUAAAAUUUAUAUUGAUGUCUGAUUCAGUGUGAUGGGGAAGGAGUUAAGGAUGAUUGAGAUUUUGAGCCAGAGUGGAGAAGGUAAUGGUGGUAGCAUGAACGAAAUGAAAAAACCAAGAGGAGAAGCAGAUUUGGAGAAAUAUGACAUUCUAUUUUAUACAUGUUGAGUUUAAGAUCAUGCCAGAACAUCAAGAUGGAAUUAUGAAACAGACACAGAACUGAAGAUUUGGUGCUCUGAAAAAAAAGGUCAGAAAUGGUGAUAGGAAAUUAGAAGUUACCCACAUAAGGGUAAUAACUAAAGCCGGGAGAGUGAAUGAGAUCGUUGAGAGAGAACAUAGGAAAACUGAGUACUGAGGACAGAGAAGGAGAGAAGGAAAGGGAGAAGGAAAGGAAAUCAACAUUUACUGAGCCCCUGUUAAACUGUGUGCCAGCUGCUCUACGUUCGUUACCUCAUUUAUUCCCCUCAAAUUCCAGGGUGGCUGUUCUGACCUCGUGUAGCAGACUCUAGACUCACAGCAAGACAAAAAACCAGUGUUUGAAACCAGCUUGGCUCCAGUUUAUGCAGUGCCCUACUCCAUUCCUGGAGAACCAAGUGUCUCUUGCAGAAGCCCAGGGGGAGACUAUUAACUGCAACCAACGUUUUGUCUGUGCAGUUCCUGUGCAAUUUGGAAACCACGAACUCUUUAGGAAUGGCAGGUGGACUUGCUGCCGGUGCCAUUAUGGCAUGUGAAGUCACCACUCUGGAACAUAAACCCUGGAAUAAGUCUGUGACAGCAGGAAACUAUAACUAAAUCCUUUCUCCCCACUGCUCAAGAGCAUGAAAGUUUUCUGCUGCCUUUGGAACUGUGUCUGCAAACAGCUCAAAAGAGAUGGCCUGAGGGCUCGCCAUGGACAUCAAUGUCGGAAGAACACAGUGGGGUUGACCAUAGCUCGGUGGCACUGACAGCAGUGUCUGCAAAGCCAAACAUUCUUCAUUCUUUAAUCCAAAUUGCUUGUCCUCCCUGAAGAGAAAUCUAUUUUAUUUAUACCUUUAUCUCCACAAGCAAGGACUUUACCCUAAAUAAGACUUUAUCACUUUUCUUUCAGAUUAUUGAGUCUUGUUCUCUUUGAAUUUAACCUUCCCUUCCUGCCCCCAGACCAUCCUGCCUGCCUACCACUGUUGUCUUCGUCAGAUAUUGCUUUCAGCUUGAGACUCCGCUGAGCAUUACCCUACAGGGUACCUAUGUGGACAUCUAGGCUCAUCCUAGAUCUGGACCUUUCCAGCCCUGGGUUUGGGCAGACCUGCAGUCAAGGAUGAUAGUAUGUGAGAACACUUAGCAUAGUUCCUGGCACAUAGCAGGCAAUGUUAGCUUCUUUUUCCUCUUUUUAUCAAGUUAGUUUCUUUACUGCCCCAAAGACUACCAAGUCUUUGAGUUCAUAUCUGACUCAGAAAUUAUUCUCCCUCUGAGAAACAUAUUCACUCCAAUUUUCUGCCUCUCUAAAUCUAUCAAACAUAAACAAAUUCAAAUUCUACCUUCAAAUUUUAAAACAAUCUUGAAAGUCACAACAGUAAGAACAAAUGGAAAAUUAAACCUUGUUCUUGGUUAAGAAAUUUAACAUCAUAAAAAUAUUAUGUCUUUAUUUAAUAUAUGUCAAAAAUACAAGAUUUUUUGGGGAUCCAUGGAAAUGGGAGGAGGGGAGCUAGCCAAGUGGAUUCUAAAGCUCAUAUGGAAAAAAUAAAUAAGCACAAAUGGACAGAAAACCCUGCCAAAGAACACUAAGGGGAGACUAGCAUCUGCUAGAUAUUAGUCAGAUUAUAAAGCCCCAAGGGCACUAAUCCACCCUCAUGACCUAAACACCUCCCAAAGGCGCCCCUCUCCAAAUACCAGCACAGCAGGGAUUAGGUUUCAACAUAGGAAUUUGGGGAGGACACAGACAUUCAGUUUAGAGCACCAAAUAUUUAUUAUAGGGGCUGUAGAAAAGAAGAGGAAUCUAUAAGUACUGGUAGGGAAACAUCUCCAGCUUUAUAUAAAGAAUUAUGAUUAAGUUUAAAAAGGAAAGUACAGAAAGUGUCUCUAGUGUGCUACCUUUAGUAAAGGGAGAAGAUAUGUAUAUGAUUGUAUAUGCUUGUAUUCAUAUAAAGAAG